UGGGGAAUUUUGGACAAUGGGGGCAACCCUGAUCCAGCAAUGCCGCGUGUGUGAAGAAGGCCUUCGGGUUGUAAAGCACUUUUGUCCGGGAAGAAAUCGCACCUGAUAAUACCGGGUGUGGAUGACGGUACCGGAAGAAUAAGGACCGGCUAACUACGUGCCAGCAGCCGCGGUAAUACGUAGGGUCCAAGCGUUAAUCGGAAUUACUGGGCGUAAAGCGUGCGCAGGCGGUUGUGCAAGACCGAUGUGAAAUCCCCGGGCUUAACCUGGGAAUUGCAUUGGUGACUGCACGGCUAGAGUGUGUCAGAGGGGGGUAGAAUUCCACGGGUAGCAGUGAAAUGCGUAGAGAUGUGGAGGAAUACCGAUGGCGAAGGCAGCCCCCUGGGAUAACACUGACGCUCAUGCACGAAAGCGUGGGGAGCAAACAGG
rnacentral:rRNA from 1 species